GACGAACGCUGGCGGCGUGCUUAACACAUGCAAGUCGAACGGAAAGGCCCCUUUGGGGGUUCUCGAGUGGCGAACGGGUGAGUAACACGUGAGUAACCUUCCCUUGACUUCGGGAUAACUUCAGGUAACUGGGGCUAAUACUGGAUAGGAAUCCUGUCUUCAUGGUGGUGGUUGGAAAGCUUCGGCGGUUUUGGAUGGACUCACGGGUUAUCAGCUUGUUGGUGGGGUAGUGGCUUACCCAGGCUCUUACGGGUAGCUGCCCUGAGAAGGCGACCGGCCACAUUGGGACUGAGAGAAGGCCCAGGCUGGGACGGGAGGCAGAAGUGGGGAAGACUGAAGGAUGGACGGAAGGUUGGUGAAGAAGGGCUGCGUGCGGGAUGACUGUCUUCGUGUUGAAAAACGUUUGCAGCAGGAGCGGUGCUUGUGGUGACGGUACCUGCAGAAGAAGCACCGGCUAACUACGUG
rnacentral:rRNA from 1 species